rnacentral:rRNA from 1 species
UACGUAGGGUGCAAGCGUUGUCCGGAAUUAUUGGGCGUAAAGAGCUCGUAGGCGGCUUGUCACGUCGGAUGUGAAAGCCCGGGGCUUAACCCCGGGUCUGCAUUCGAUACGGGCUAGCUAGAGUGUGGUAGGGGAGAUCGGAAUUCCUGGUGUAGCGGUGAAAUGCGCAGAUAUCAGGAGGAACACCGGUGGCGAAGGCGGAUCUCUGGGCCAUUACUGACGCUGAGGAGCGAAAGCGUGGGGAACGAACAGG